AUUAAAGUGGCAGAAAAAAUGCAAGGAAUUUAAGCUUCCUUUAUGAAAACUUUCUUUCCUUUAAUA
rnacentral:tRNA from 1 species